rnacentral:rRNA from 1 species
UACGAAGGGGGCUAGCGUUGCUCGGAAUCACUGGGCGUAAAGGGUGCGUAGGCGGGGCUUUAAGUCAGGGGUGAAAUCCUGGAGCUCAACUCCAGAACUGCCUUUGAUACUGAGGAUCUUGAGUUCGGGAGAGGUGAGUGGAACUGCGAGUGUAGAGGUGAAAUUCGUAGAUAUUCGCAAGAACACCAGUGGCGAAGGCGGCUCACUGGCCCGAUACUGACGCUGAGGCACGGAAGCGUGGGGAGCAAACAGG